AUGGAGCCCGUGUUCUUCUCACUGGAGGAGGCGAUGCCCGAGCCCGACUCUAACCCCUGCCGGACCGCGUCGCCGCCCCUGGAGGCACACGUGCUCGCCGGAGGACUCGGAGGAGUGGGCGCCGGCAAGGUCGUCGGCGGUGGCGCGACGAACGAGUGCGCGACAGAAUGGUGCUUCCACGAGUCCGUGGACGAGCCGUGGCUGCUCAACGUCCCCACCGCGCCAGUGGCGAACCCCGAAGCUUCGACGCUUUACCCUAAUCCCACGGCCGAGGGGAGCCGCAAGAGGCCGUACGACGUCCAUGAGAUGGUGGGCGCGGUGGAGGUCAUCCCCACGCCGCCUGCGGCGAGCCCGGAGGUGGACCCCGUGGCGUACAACGCGAUGCUGAGACGGAAGUUGGACGCGCAUCUCGCCGCCGUCGCCAUGUUGAGGAACACUCAGGGAAUUUGCCGACAAAGCUCCCAUGACAAUGGAGCAUCGCAAAAUCCAGAUUCCAUCCAAGGCUCGGAAAACCACACCGAAGAUGUCAGUGUGCAUCAACUUAGCUCUUCCUCAUUGGAGCCAUCACCAUCAGAUGGUGAUAUGGAAGGGGAGGCACAAACAAUUGGAACUAUGCAUAUUAGUGCAGAGAAAGCGAAUAAGAGGAAAGAAUCUAACAGGGAUUCGGCGAGACGCUCAAGGAGUAGAAAAGCAGCUCAUACGAAGGAACUAGAGGAGCAGGUAAAGAUGGCCGAGGAAACUAUGAAGAGGGUUACAUGCACCAACAAUUUUCCUCAAGCAAUAUCUGGCACAUCUCUCAGGAUUCCUUUCAGUGGCUCCCCAUUGGAUGGUAUCUGUGAUAAUCCAUUGCCAACCCAGAACACCUCACUUAGCUACCUCCCCACUACAACAACAGAUUUUGCUGUGAAAAACAACUACAUCCCCGAGCCAGCUCCGGCGUUCCAGAUCCAUGAUCAAAUGUCUUCGCUACAUAUGCAACCUAUGUCAUGCCUGGAUCAUCACCCGCAAAUGAUGCACAUAGGUAUUCCUACAUCGACACCUACUCCGCAACGGGAAUCUACUACAUUGGAUUCAAAUGAAAUAGUCAACAUGAUGAUGUAG
rnacentral:rRNA from 1 species